rnacentral:sRNA from 1 species
AUUCUGCCCAUGCGGGGAAGGAUGAGAAGCUUCGACUAAGGUUCGGCUCGAGCGUCAGCGAGAGAGCGUUGCCGCAGGCAACGACCCGAAGGGCGAAGCGCGCAGCGCUGAGUAGUCCUUCCCCCACCACCA